CCUCAGACUCCACAUCCGGGCUCUGCCCUCUGGGCCCCUGAGCUCCGCCCUCAGCCUCUGACUUCACCCCGAGGCCCCGCCUCCCACGUGCGGGUGCUCCUCUCCCAGAGCUCACCAGUCCUUCCAGCAGUCCUCAGGUUGCACGCGACCAGCAGUGGACUUUACUGAGUAGGGGUGGGAAGCCGGUGGCUCCGGGCAGCCGUGAUAACCCGGCACAGAAGCAGAGUCGCAUUUCGGAGCGUCCACCCGUAACCUGGCUUCUCGCACAUGGAGCCCAUAGUCCAGGAGAGAGAAGGCCAGGGCGGCCCUGGAGAGGUUGUAGGUGCAGGCGGAUCGGCGGCGGAGACCCCUUCGUGCUCAGGAAGGCACGCAUGCACUUGGUUCUGCUGUAGACUCCACUCUCUUCAGUACCACAACAGGACUACUUAUUCCUUAGGCGAUGUACAGCCAAACAAGGUGACUAGCUGCCUGCCAGGAGACCUUAUUAAAAGAUUUCAUUUCUUCGCAUCCAGCUCUGUUUCCUGAGGCAUUUGCAAACCAAUUCAGCACUAUGGAAAAACAAGUCCAGGAAAGAAAUGUUUUAAAAGCUGGCACAUCAAGCUGGGUACAAUGUCUCAUACCUGCACUUGGAAAUCUGAAGCAGGAGGAAGGCGGAAAGGCUUGGGCUACAAGUGAGACUGUCUCAGAAAACAAAAAAACAAACAAAUUACUCCCCCCCCCAUCCCCCAGAAAACCAAAACCAAAACAGAAAGUAAAAGAAUAACAUGAUGUCCUGGUGUCAGUGGCUCUUGGAUCUCUCUAGUUUUCUCUAUUUUGACAAUAUCAACAAACUAAUUCCUUAGAACCACCAUGUGGCAAUGUGACUUGCAGAUGCCUCAGAAAUGGGCUACUGUGUGGUAUCUCGGUAGAGGAUUCGUAUGAUUUCUUUCAUGACUGUACAUGCUUUCCUUCUUAAUGCUUUGGCUUUGCCUACUUACUAGAAGUGUUCAAUGGCACACAGAUGCUUUCUCUGUACUGUCUAUUCUCACUCAGUCUAGUUCCGCAUUUGAUGUUGGUGUCUUCUCCAGACACCAAUGCCACAGAGUGUUGACAUAGGCAAAGUUCAUCUGUAGAAGAUCCUUUCCAUAGCCUGAGUGUUGCCAAGGCUUUCUUAGGAAAAGCCUUCCAAAUGUUAGAGGCCCGGAGUUUUAGCAUGAGUGUCUUGUCAAAUAAUCUCAAUAAAGAGAAUCAUUGUCCC
rnacentral:lncRNA from 1 species